AUUGUCAUAAAAGCAAUAAUCAAUUCACAUCAUUUGUAGUCAAAACGAUAUGUGGUGGGCUGGUAGCAACAAUGAAAACUGAAAUGCCACAUUUUAACCUAUUUUACAAAAGUAUAAAAGUAUUACAACUGAAAUGCAUACUGCAGUUGAUAGAAAAUCUGAAAUUAUUGUAGGAAUUUGUCUACAAUCAUUUCAAAGAGAACUUCAAGGUUUUUGACUCUCCCCAAAAAAAGAAGAAAGUGUAAGAGAGAGAGAGAGAGUGUGUGUGUGUGUGUGUGAGAGAGAGAGAGAGAGAGGGAGACACUCUCAAAGGAAAC